rnacentral:lncRNA from 1 species
CUUAGAUUCCUGCGUGGGCAGCUCCCCUUGCCUCUGGGGUCAGUGCUUGGGGACACACUGUUGGAGUCACGAAGGGCGAAGUCCCCCGAGAGCAGCAGAUCAGCUGUUCUUUUGGGCUCCCCAAAGCUUUCUUGUGGCCAAUGGUCACAGUGAGAGGCCUGUAGGCUCUGGGCGGAGCCAGAUGCCAGGAUCCAAGCAGGAGUCCACUAGGGUCAGUGUUCUCAGCAAGACCUCAGGACUGUGACCAUCAUGCCAGCAAUGCCACAGAAAACAUACACUUUUCCUGUUGCCUCUCAUCUACCAGGAGCGGGCAGAGCACAGGCCUUGGAGUCAGACCUGGAGGCAAAGCUCAGAAUGACUCUCUCGGUCCCAGCGGCCUCGGGCAGGUUAUGCAACCGUUUCUUUACUUGUAGAAGGAGGUCGGGGACAUCCAGCUCUAGUUGUCAUGAGGACUACACAGAUAGCAUCUGGAAGCCUAUUCGCUGGCUUUCUUCUGUUCCUGUUUCUGACACCCUUGUCACCCAAACUGAGCGUGUGGUGAAAUUGACUGCAUGUGACCCUGCAGCCAGCUUCCGACCCGACCCCCCAUCCCAUCCGGGGAGACAGCGACGUGCCAGGCUUGGGUGCUGCCAGCCGGGAGCCUGAUUUAGCACACGCCUUGUUAAGAGAAGCUAAUUAACAAACCUGCAUUUAAAUAAGCAGCCGCCCGGGUGUUUGUAACCACCGCCUUAUUGAAUUGUGACAAGUUA